AAAAUGGAGGUAAAGAAAAAGGAAAGGCCGAGCAUCGACGAAGAUGAGGAAGCCUUCGCUGGACGCAAUUCCUGAGAAUCGUAAGCUUGCUGUUCCGCUGGCAUAAAGUGGGAAAGAACAUGGUGAAGGCUAGAGCGCUAAGAACAGCCAAAGUCUUCAUCAGAUGUGCAGGAGAUAUGCAGAUAUUAUGACAUGCAUGAUGUCUGAUAUAUAUUCGCAAUAACAGCUUUUGCUUUUUGAUGUGUUCGGAAUGAUUGAUAAAAGGCAAUGAGAUGGAGUAGGGAUGAGAACGUCAAUGGAGGGAUGAUUUCUAAUUUCCUCUUUGACAAGCAGAUAUCGCUGUUGGCAUAAAGAGAUCAAUAACACGUUAUCUUUCUUUCAUGUUAGCUUAUGAGUUUUUUUAAUAAUUCUAUUUAAUAAACUAGUUAUAUUCAACAAGUUUGCUUGAUAUGAUUGGUGAAGUGUACAAUGAUAAUUAACUUAGACUUUAUUUG